rfam:Ixodes scapularis strain Wikel colony gcontig_1108378583946, whole genome shotgun sequence.
UCGUGGUUAGUUCAGUCGGUAGAGCGUUCCACUGAAAAUGGAGAAGACCCUGGUUCGAUACCAGGACCAGGCG